rnacentral:rRNA from 1 species
UACGAAGGGAGCUAGCGUUGUUCGGAAUCACUGGGCGUAAAGCGCACGUAGGCGGAUUUGUCAGUCAGGGGUGAAAUCCCGGGGCUCAACCUCGGAACUGCCUUUGAUACAGCAAGUCUUGAGUUCGAGAGAGGUGGGUGGAAUUCCUAGUGUAGAGGUGAAAUUCGUAGAUAUUCGCAAGAACACCGGUGGCGAAGGCGGGUCUCUGGGCAGUAACUGACGCUGAGGAGCGAAAGCGUGGGUAGCAAACAGG